rnacentral:rRNA from 1 species
GAAUUUUGGACAAUGGGGGCAACCCUGAUCCAGCCAUGCCGCGUGCGGGAAGAAGGCCUUCGGGUUGUAAACCGCUUUUAGUCGGGAAGAAAAGGCGCCACCUAAUACGGGGCGUUCUUGACGGUACCGGCGGACUAAGCACCGGCUAACUACGUGCCAGCAGCCGCGGUAAUACGUAGGGUGCGAGCGUUAAUCGGAAUUACUGGGCGUAAAGCGUGCGUAGGCGGUUCGUUAAGUUCGUCGUGAAAGCCCCGGGCUCAACCUGGGAAUGGCGAUGGAAACUGGCGGGCUGGAGUAUGGCAGAGGGGGGUGGAAUUCCGCGUGUAGCAGUGAAAUGCGUAGAGAUGCGGAGGAACACCAAUGGCGAAGGCAGCCCCCUGGGCCAAUACUGACGCUCAGGCACGAAAGCGUGGGGAGCAAACAGG